rnacentral:rRNA from 1 species
UACGGAGGGGGCUAGCGUUGUUCGGAAUUACUGGGCGUAAAGCGCACGUAGGCGGCUUUGUAAGUUAGAGGUGAAAGCCCAGGGCUCAACCCUGGAAUUGCCUUUAAGAGUGCAUCGCUUGAACAUCGGAGAGGUAAGUGGAAUUCCGAGUGUAGAGGUGAAAUUCGUAGAUAUUCGGAAGAACACCAGUGGCGAAGGCGACUUACUGGACGAUUGUUGACGCUGAGGUGCGAAAGCGUGGGGAGCAAACAGG